UCUAUGGUGUCGGACAAACGAGUCACAUUGAUGUUGUGAAACAUAAGUUUUUACUUUCAUGGAA
rnacentral:tRNA from 1 species